rnacentral:rRNA from 1 species
UACGUAGGGUGCAAGCGUUAUCCGGAAUUAUUGGGCGUAAAGAGCGUGUAGGCGGUUUGGUAGGUCCGCUGUGAAAACUCGAGGCUCAACCUCGAGACGCCGGUGGAAACCAUCAGGCUAGAGUCCGGAAGAGGAGAGUGGAAUUCCUGGUGUAGCGGUGAAAUGACGCAGAUAUCAGGAAGAACACCCGUGGCUAAGGCGGCUCUCUAGUACGGUACUGACGCUGAGACGCGAAAGCGUGGGGAGCGAACAGG